rnacentral:lncRNA from 1 species
ACUAUUGCAACGCUACUUAUCAAUGGAAAGCGGGAGGGGGUUAUGGCACCCUCGCAAGGCACAUGGAGAAACAACACACUGUCGAGUAUGGAAUCCAUACAACUCAAACUCAACUACAUCCCGAAGCUUUCCAACGCCAAGGUAAUGAACUGUUGCUGAAAUGGAAAGUUUAUUGAAAAAAGAAAAGCUGAGAACCCUUGAAAGCACAGGCGCAGACAAAGGAGUGAGCCUCAGGAAAGAGAGCUCAAAAAAAACAAAAAAACCCUAACUAUUGAAAAGAAAAUAAGAAAAAAGGAUCAAAAAACCAUGAGAGCACACGCAACAACGGACCGGAUCACAGAGGACCCGAGAAAAAACAAUCGUCUCCAUCCAAAGAAUCUUCAUCGUCCAACAUGCCUCCCCA